CGGACGGGUGAGUAACGCGUGAGAAUCUGGCUUCAGGUCUGGGACAACCACUGGAAACGGUGGCUAAUACCGGAUGUGCCGAGAGGUGAAAGGUUAACUGCCUGAAGAUGAGCUCGCGUCUGAUUAGCUAGUUGGAAGUGUAAUGGACUCCCAAGGCGACGAUCAGUAGCUGGUCUGAGAGGACGAUCAGCCACACUGGGACUGAGACACGGCCCAGACUCCUACGGGAGGCAGCAGUGGGGAAUUUUCCGCAAUGGGCGAAAGCCUGACGGAGCAAUACCGCGUGAGGGAGGAAGGCUCUUGGGUCGUAAACCUCUUUUCUCAGGGAAGAACAAAAUGACGGUACCUGAGGAAUAAGCAUCGGCUAACUCCGUGCCAGCAGCCGCGGUAAUACGGAGGAUGCAAGCGUUAUCCGGAAUGAUUGGGCGUAAAGCGUCCGCAGGUGGCUAUGUAAGUCUGCUGUUAAAGAGUCUAGCUCAACUAGAUAAGAGCAGUGGAAACUACAAGGCUAGAGUACGUUCGGGGCAGAGGGAAUUCCUGGUGUAGCGGUGAAAUGCGUAGAGAUCAGGAAGAACACCGGUGGCGAAGGCGCUCUGCUAGGCCGUAACUGACACUGAGGGACGAAAGCUAGGGGAGCGAAUGGGAUUAGAUACCCCAGUAGUC
rnacentral:rRNA from 1 species